CAGUCCUCAACUUCUUACGCAGAAGAGUGUAAAAGGAGGAAGAGAAGAGCAAUGAGUGGAGAAGAAUUAGCGGGCCCCCCAGCGCCAAAGCUCCUCCGUCUCCUCAAUUUUAAGUCUUCUUCUUCUUCCUUUUUAAAUGGUUGGCUGAUUUGCACUGUUGGAAUCAACAAAUGGCGUGAGCUUCAGCGCAAUUCCAUUUUACAACAGCAGCAGCAGCAACAACAGCUCUCUGAAAAUGCCGCAAAUUCCCUUGAGUGAUCUCCAGGUUUAGGGCAAAUUUUCAAAUUUUGUCACGGAAUUUGGCAAGUAAGUUUGAUCUUUGGCUUCAUUUUGAGUUUGUAAGUGCUGCUCCAGCUAAAUUAUGUGGAAAAUGGUGCAAGAAUUCAUGCCUUUCAAUCUGUUUGAAUAUACGAAGUACCUAUGUGUGCAAAUUUCUUUGGCUUCAUUUUGAGUUUGAUCAAAUUGCUAAUCCGAGUAUUCAGCGUACAAAUUUGAAUGGUAAUGGGGAUUGUCAAGAUUUCGAUUUUGUAUACAUUUGUGCUUCUUUUGUGACAUUUUCUCUCUAGUUAUAGUUUGAUUCGGGCAGUAUACAACAUUCUUGAGGAUGACUCAAAUAGCGAGGUGAGAUUAUUGGUGUGUGUGUGUGUAUGGGCGCUGAAAAGAAAAAGGAAAAGGUGAAGGAGAGGGCAAAGAAAAGAGCAAUGACAGCAGAACAAGUUAAAUAAAAAAAUAUGGCAAGGAUUGCUUGUGAGAGGAGAAAAGAUGGAGAAGUCUAUGAAGACACUGAAGAGUUGACAGUUCUUCAAGGGCGGAAUUGUAAGCAGAGAUGAAUGAAGUUUGAAAGAAAAACUUCAACAAAUGGACAAGCUGCUGCUCGAGGGGACAUAGUCAUGUCACGUAUCUCAGCUUUUGAGAAACUGGAUCUAGAGCUUAUAAAGAGAGAAAAAAUGCAGAAAGAAUUUUCAUUCGCAGACCAGAUCAGAGCUGCCAAAAACAAAAGAAUGGAAUUAACUAUGGAAGCCUCAUCCUCUGUUCAUGCAGCCAGCAAGAAACCAGGGGAGUAUGCUUAAAUUUCCACAUCCCUAGCAGCAGUUGAAAUAGAGGUGUAUGGAGGGCAACUUUAUUCUUGUUCUCUUCUUUAAAGAGGGACAAUUUGCUUGUUUUUAUGUAGCUUAAUGUUCAUUUGUUGAUGGUUUGUAGGAAGAGAAAAUAUCGGACUCUUGGACGCAUUUUUCCAACCAGUCGCAAGAGUCUGGUCAUUUGUUUUCAGGGCUUCAUUCAUGUUAUAUGGAAGAGGUCCAUCUGGUGACA